rnacentral:rRNA from 1 species
GGUUAAGCGACUAAGCGUACACGGUGGAUGCCCUGGCAGUCAGAGGCGAUGAAGGGCGUGCUAAUCUGCGAUAAGCGCCGGUAAGGUGAUAUGAACCGUUAUAACCGGCGAUACCCGAAUGGGGAAACCCAGUGUGAUUCGUCACACUAUCAUUAACUGAAUCCAUAGGUUAAUGAGGCGAACCGGGGGAACUGAAACAUCUAAGUACCCCGAGGAAAAGAAAUCAACCGAGAUUCCCCCAGUAGCGGCGAGCGAACGGGGAGGAGCCCAGAGCCUGAAUCAGCAUGUGUGUUAGUGGAAGCGUCUGGAAAGGCGCGCGAUACAGGGUGACAGCCCCGUACACAAAAGCGCAUGUGCUGUGAGCUCGAUGAGUAGGGCGGGACACGUGGUAUCCUGUCUGAAUAUGGGGGGACCAUCCUCCAAGGCUAAAUACUCCUGACUGACCGAUAGUGAACCAGUACCGUGAGGGAAAGGCGAAAAGAACCCCGGCGAGGGGAGUGAAAAAGAACCUGAAACCGUGUACGUACAAGCAGUGGGAGCACAGGUUUACCUGUGUGACUGCGUACCUUUUGUAUAAUGGGUCAGCGACUUAUAUUCUGUAGCAAGGUUAACCGAAUAGGGGAGCCGGAGGGAAACCGAGUCUUAACCGGGCGUUAAGUUGCAGGGUAUAGACCCGAAACCCGGUGAUCUAGCCAUGGGCAGGUUGAAGGUUGGGUAACACUAACUGGAGGACCGAACCGACUAAUGUUGAAAAAUUAGCGGAUGACCUGUGGCUGGGGGUGAAAGGCCAAUCAAACCGGGAGAUAGCUGGUUCUCCCCGAAAGCUAUUUAGGUAGCGCCUCGUGAAUUCAUCUCCGGGGGUAGAGCACUGUUUCGGCUAGGGGGCCAUCCCGGCUUACCAACCCGAUGCAAACUGCGAAUACCGGAGAAUGUUAUCACGGGAGACACACGGCGGGUGCUAACGUCCGUCGUGAAGAGGGAAACAACCCAGACCGCCAGCUAAGGUCCCAAAGUCAUGGUUAAGUGGGAAACGAUGUGGGAAGGCCCAGACAGCCAGGAUGUUGGCUUAGAAGCAGCCAUCAUUUAAAGAAAGCGUAAUAGCUCACUGGUCGAGUCGGCCUGCGCGGAAGAUGUAACGGGGCUAAACCAUGCACCGAAGCUGCGGCAGCGACGCUUAUGCGUUGUUGGGUAGGGGAGCGUUCUGUAAGCCUGUGAAGGUGUGUCGUGAGGCAUGCUGGAGGUAUCAGAAGUGCGAAUGCUGACAUAAGUAACGAUAAAGCGGGUGAAAAGCCCGCUCGCCGGAAGACCAAGGGUUCCUGUCCAACGUUAAUCGGGGCAGGGUGAGUCGACCCCUAAGGCGAGGCCGAAAGGCGUAGUCGAUGGGAAACGGGUUAAUAUUCCCGUACUUGGUGUUACUGCGAAGGGGGGACGGAGAAGGCUAUGUUGGCCGGGCGACGGUUGUCCCGGUUUAAGCGUGUAGGUGUGUGUUCUAGGUAAAUCCGGUUCACUUUAACACUGAGGCGUGAUGACGAGGCACUACGGUGCUGAAGUAACAAAUGCCCUGCUUCCAGGAAAAGCCUCUAAGCAUCAGGUAACAUCAAAUCGUACCCCAAACCGACACAGGUGGUCAGGUAGAGAAUACCAAGGCGCUUGAGAGAACUCGGGUGAAGGAACUAGGCAAAAUGGUGCCGUAACUUCGGGAGAAGGCACGCUGACACGUAGGUGAAGUGAUUUACUCAUGGAGCUGAAGUCAGUCGAAGAUACCAGCUGGCUGCAACUGUUUAUUAAAAACACAGCACUGUGCAAACACGAAAGUGGACGUAUACGGUGUGACGCCUGCCCGGUGCCGGAAGGUUAAUUGAUGGGGUCAGCGCAAGCGAAGCUCCUGAUCGAAGCCCCGGUAAACGGCGGCCGUAACUAUAACGGUCCUAAGGUAGCGAAAUUCCUUGUCGGGUAAGUUCCGACCUGCACGAAUGGCGUAAUGAUGGCCAGGCUGUCUCCACCCGAGACUCAGUGAAAUUGAACUCGCUGUGAAGAUGCAGUGUACCCGCGGCAAGACGGAAAGACCCCGUGAACCUUUACUAUAGCUUGACACUGAACAUUGAGCCUUGAUGUGUAGGAUAGGUGGGAGGCUUUGAAGCGUGGACGCCAGUCUGCGUGGAGCCGACCUUGAAAUACCACCCUUUAAUGUUUGAUGUUCUAACGUGGACCCGUGAUCCGGGUUGCGGACAGUGUCUGGUGGGUAGUUUGACUGGGGCGGUCUCCUCCUAAAGAGUAACGGAGGAGCACGAAGGUUGGCUAAUCCUGGUCGGACAUCAGGAGGUUAGUGCAAUGGCAUAAGCCAGCUUGACUGCGAGCGUGACGGCGCGAGCAGGUGCGAAAGCAGGUCAUAGUGAUCCGGUGGUUCUGAAUGGAAGGGCCAUCGCUCAACGGAUAAAAGGUACUCCGGGGAUAACAGGCUGAUACCGCCCAAGAGUUCAUAUCGACGGCGGUGUUUGGCACCUCGAUGUCGGCUCAUCACAUCCUGGGGCUGAAGUAGGUCCCAAGGGUAUGGCUGUUCGCCAUUUAAAGUGGUACGCGAGCUGGGUUUAGAACGUCGUGAGACAGUUCGGUCCCUAUCUGCCGUGGGCGCUGGAGAACUGAGGGGGGCUGCUCCUAGUACGAGAGGACCGGAGUGGACGCAUCACUGGUGUUCGGGUUGUCAUGCCAAUGGCACUGCCCGGUAGCUAAAUGCGGAAGAGAUAAGUGCUGAAAGCAUCUAAGCACGAAACUUGCCCCGAGAUGAGUUCUCCCUGAGACUUAGAGUCUCCUGAAGGAACGUUGAAGACGACGACGUUGAUAGGCCGGGUGUGUAAGCGCAGCGAUGCGUUGAGCUAACCGGUACUAAUGAACCGUGAGGCUUAACCUU